ensembl:lincRNA Gm26662 predicted gene, 26662
GAUGACUGUCCUGUAGGCUUCAGUGUCCACCAUCUAUGUUAUAGGAGCCCAAGCAAGCUGGAUGGGGAUUUUACUUCUGUAGAUCUCCAGACUGUGCUCAGCCACAGAUGAGAGCGAGCCAGACUGUGCAGAGCCAAAGGAGCCUAAGAAGAAGGGGACAAAGGUAGCAGGAAAGAACGAUGCUCUUCAAGUACAUUUACAGUGUUGAGAACUAAGCAAUCCUGACCAUGCUCUACGGGCCUCUUUGUACCAUGCUUUCUAUGAGCCAUGUGUUCAAAAUACGGGGAAGAGAGGGUCAUGAAUGUGGGCUGUAAAUAAUUGCAUAGAUAAAGCAAACCCCAGUGUACAAUUGGAUGGGGUAAACACAUGUGACCCCCACCUUGGGAAAAGCUCCAUGGUGGGUGUAGCCUGGUGAAUGCUUUUUGCCGGUCAGAAGAUAUGACGAAGAGACAAGUUUUGGAAGUCGAGAAGACGCAACUUAGCAGAAGCUUUUUGUUGUUGUUGUUAAGGAUUUACACCUUCCAGGACAAUUAAAAGCUGAACUGAAG